UCUCUGGUGGUCCAGUUGUUAGAGGACUCAGCACUUUCGCUGCUGAGAAACAGGUUUGAUCCCUGAUGGGGGAA
rnacentral:tRNA from 1 species